CUACGGGUGGCACCAGUGAGGAAUAUUGGACAAUGGAGGCAACUCUGACCCAGCCAUGCCGCGUGCAGGAAGACGGCCCUAUGGGUUGUAAACUGCUUUUAUACAGGAAGAAUGGUACCUACGUGUAGGUAUUUGACGGUACUGUACGAAUAAGGAUCGGCUAACUCCGUGCCAGCAGCCGCGGUAAUACGGAGGAUCCAAGCGUUAUCCGGAAUCAUUGGGUUUAAAGGGUCCGUAGGCGGUUUUUUAAGUCAGAGGUGAAAUCCUGCAGCUCAACUGUAGCAUCGCCUUUGAUACUGAAAGACUUGAGUUACUGUGAAGUAGUUAGAAUGUGUAGUGUAGCGGUGAAAUGCAUAGAUAUUACACAGAAUACCGAUUGCGAAAGCAGAUUACUAAUAAUAUACUGACGCUCAGGGACGAAAGCGUGGGUAGCGAACAGGAUUAGAUACCCUAGUAGUC
rnacentral:rRNA from 1 species